UGAUUCCCCCCUGUUCUCUGUAAUUAAAAGGCUAUUACUCACCGGAGACAGCGGAUAUCCAGUAUGUAUUUGAGCGAACUGUUUGUAUCACUGCCACGCACACUGCUUGACCGUUAACCGGGGCAAGUUGCAGCACCAGGAGACAAUCAACGCUUUUUUAUCUGUGUAUCUUGGAGUCAGAAAAGUGAUGGAAAAAAACAGAAAGUGCUGCGUCUAGGUGGGCGAAACACACACAGACAUACACACAAGCUACGACUCCGAGAGCAUUGUUCCUCCACUCCGGACCCGAAAUGGGAUCUCUCCCCCCACCUCCCAGUCCGAUGCUUCCCGGCCAGGGUUCCAGCAGCAGCCUCGCAGUUAACAGGCAGGACAUCUCCCUCCGUGUCUUUGUGUUGGGGUGCCAGGACGAUUCCUCAAGUGCUGCUUGCUGUGGGACAGGUGUUGGGAAACAGAGGCCGCAGUGGUGCACCUUGGCAUUCCUCGGCAGACUCACCCUGAGAGCUGGCAUCGGGCAAAGACUCAUCAGCGGUACAGCAGCCCUCUGCCAGCUCUGGAAAUAUCUCAUGAUCCUUUUCCAUUUUGAUCCUGUUAAUUCCUCUCUCUUCUAAUCAGUCACUUUACUCUGUACACCGCAAGCAUUGUUUCUGUCUGUCCGCCUUUUGUAAUACACCUAGCCAGGGAUGUGCAGGAGUAGUGAUUAA